UUUGUUUCUUCAUCUGAACAGAGUUGGAGAAUUUUAGCAUUAUAUCAGUUGCUCAUCAGUGGAUCCUCUGCAGUGAAUGGGUGCCAUCGGAAUGAGAGUCCAAACAACUGAUAAAAACAUCACAAUUAUUCACAUGUGAAAGUUAUGCUUGCAAUGCUAAAUUUCUCCAAAUCUCCUCCAAUGAAAAAACAAUGUCAUCUACAUCUUGGAUGGAAUGUGGUGGACAACACAGCAGCUACUGACUUCUUCAGGAACAAUGCAGCUCAUCAGAGCUUUUGCAUUCCUUUGCCUGGUGAUUUCAGUCGGUGCGCAGAGGAGUUACAGACUGACCUGCUAUCUGGAUGUUUUAACACACCGUACACGUGAGGGGCCGUGCUCUCACAUCAUCCUCCCCUUGACCUCCACUGAUGACGACCUUUACCUCCAAAGCUUGUCAGAAGAUGACAGUCUUACUAUUAGAAUGAUGAAGGAGAGAAAUCUAUCUUUGAAGAUUUUGCUUGGCUUGGAAAUCAAAUCAUCAAGUUUGGAGCUGAUGUCUGCUAAUGAGGCCGGUGUUGAGACUUUUGUUCAAACGGUAUUGAAAUACCUAAAGGACAAGAGUUUAGACGGUCUAGACGUGACUUGGCUGGAUGGCCCUUCUUCUAGUGAAUCUAGCAGAACCAUAGAGCUAUUCACAAAUUUUCUGAAGAGUCUAAAAGGCGCGUUUGAAAAAGAAACCCCGCCUCUUCUUCUAACAGUGUCUGUACUAGAGCCUGCUGACCACAGUGCAGUCACUUAUAAUGAGCGAACGCUUUCACAGUAUGUGGACUUCAUAUCCAUUCUGCCUGCUCACCUCGAAAAGGAUGGACCAUACAUUGACAAAUUAACCAAGCUCUGGCAGGACCAGCAAGUUGACCUGCAAAAGCUCAAUCUAGCCAUGCCUACUUUUCUAUGGCGGUCACGUCGAAGGCAUCACCACAGGGAUCGCCUCAAGCAUGAUGACAUGAAUACAGAGACAGGAAGGAAGGAUCACAUCCAUGUUUUGGGCUUAUACCUGGGCAAUCAGGUGUGUCAGGCCAUUAAAAGUGGACACGAGCGGUUCAUUACUUUAACAAGUCCCUCAAAUGAGCAAAGUCUUGUAGCAGAGGUGCUCCAGAAAGGCUUUGGUGGCAUAGGAGUUGUCUUCAUAGAUCUGGACGUCUUCUAUAGCUCCAUGUGUGCAACCAUUACUCAGGAAGAACGAGCGAUGGUUGAAUCAAAGGUGAUUAUGCAUUCACAUCAUGAACGCAGACGUCAUGAGCAUGGUGGUCAUCAUCACAGGAGGAACCAUCACCACAGCCGCCACCAGCAUCAUCACUCUCAUCUUCCUUACGCCAGCCAUGGUCACCAUCACCAUGGACAUCAUCAACAUGGCCGUCGUCACCAUGGUCACCACCAUCAUCACCAUCAGCAUCGUCCAAUGAUUCCUCAAAGCAACAUAACCCUGGAAGAACGGCAGGGCAUGGAGUGAACUUAAUACAUAAAUCGCAUAUGAUGAAUGUUAAUGAGAUAUAUAUAAUUUUCCACACAAAAUUCUCGUUAACUUUUAUAUACUAUCUAUCUAUCUAUCUAUCUAUUGAUCGAUCGAUUAUUAAAAAUGUUGGUAAAUAAUUAGUUUACAAUUUAUUACUUUUUUUGCAUUACAGUAAAUUACAGUAAUGAGAAUUACAUUUUUUGCAUUAUAGGGAUGCCAAUGACAUUGCAAUAUGGUAAUGCGAAUUAUUUUUGUAAUACUGCAAAAAUAAUUUUUUGUUCUGCAUUAUAGUACUGAGAAUUAGAUUUUUACAGUUAUGUGACUAAUUUUGUUUUGCUCUAUGCUAAUGAGAUUUUUUUGCAUUAAGUUUUCAUGCUUUAACUAACUAAUGUUUUUAAUAAUGGCUUAUUAUUGCAAAAAAAAAAAGCUUAUUGUAUAUCAAAGCAGAUCAAUGCAGCAUUAUGAAAUAAACAUGUAGCAUAAAAGUCUCGGUGAUUUCA
ensembl:lncRNA